rnacentral:rRNA from 1 species
GCUCAGGACGAACGCUGGCGGCGCGCCUAACACAUGCAAGUCGAACGAGCGAGAGAGAGCUUGCUUUCUCGAGCGAGUGGCGAACGGGUGAGUAACGCGUGAGGAACCUGCCUCAAAGAGGGGGACAACAGUUGGAAACGACUGCUAAUACCGCAUAAGCCCACGACCCGGCAUCGGGUAGAGGGAAAAGGAGCAAUCCGCUUUGAGAUGGCCUCGCGUCCGAUUAGCUAGUUGGUGAGGUAAUGGCCCACCAAGGCGACGAUCGGUAGCCGGACUGAGAGGUUGAACGGCCACAUUGGGACUGAGACACGGCCCAGACUCCUACGGGAGGCAGCAGUA